GCUGAUGCCGAGCACAAUGCUGAGAUCGCUCUCCUUAUGCUCAUCCACCUUCUUUCGCCCUGAAUGUACACAAAGAAGCUUUGUUUUUCAUUGUACACUUUUAACAUUUACCAUCAUAUUUGAUCUGGAGAGCUUGAGAUACAUGCUGAGUAGGAUACUAAAUAUGACUUAAGUGAGUUGGUGUGAUGUGUGGUCUUUAACUACCUUUGUGUGAAUACUUCAAGUAUUUGUCUAUUGAUACUGGUAGUAUUUCAAGUAAAGUCAAAGUUUAAUGUGAUUGUGGAAAGGAAGUAUAUGAGUAGAUUGGUCUGCCCUGUUGAGUUUUAUUAGCAUUUUUUUAAAAAGACCUAGACUUAAAGUAUUUAUGUAAAAGCUUUCAUUCAGUUAGUCUUAUUUUACAUAGCCAAAAGAGUUUGCAUUCUGGAUAUGAUUUUGGUAGGUUAGCGAUUUUCCCAGUUUAGAGAGAUUGUUAGAAGUACAUACCAAAACUCAUUAAAGAACCUCAGUGUAUUUUUAUUAUUUGUGAAAAAAACAAAUGGAGUUCUCAAUAAUAAGGUGCAACUUGCUAUUGUACAAGUCAGAUUUUGACUUUCUUAAGAGAAACUUGAGGAGCAGUUACCCUGUAUUAAACUUUAAUUGCACGAAAAGAAACCUGCUGACAGUUUAAAAAUCAGCUUCUAUACAGUGCACAGCUUAUUUUGAGCCCCACUAUUUAUGUGAGGAUUCGCUCUCCCCCAGCACAUGUUAAUUAUGUUGUUUACCCAAUUGACUGGAGCAGUUUGCCCUUUUGGAUGUGUAAUUUAUUUUAAUAAGGAUGAGUGUUAUCAAAGAGCAUCUUAACUUUAAAAGAGGGAAGCCUGGAGUUUAAUGUUUGUAUGUUCCCUGUGUCUUAAGUUUUGACAUUUUUCCUUCUGAGCCUUAGACUUUUUGUUGGAAUUUGCCACUCAUUUGUUUUCUACUCCUGAAUGAAAUUCUUAGCAUUUUAUAAAGAGAAAGAAAGUGAAGAUGUAGAAACAUGGUUCUUUUAAAAGGACUUGAGGUUUUUUUACUUUUAAGUUAUGUGGACAUACUGAUAGUCACUAUUUUGCCCUCAUUGCCCAAGGUGUCAUAGAGUUCUACUCUGAAGGUUAACUGCCCAGUAAUUUCUUUUUUUUUUUUUUUUUUGCCCGGUAAUUUCUUAAUGUUAGAAAUGUAGGUUGAGUCUCAUAGAAGAUGAUGCUACAGAGCCCUUUAAAGAGAAGAAAACUUUGUGUCUGUGUAUUCAUUUUAAAGCUGGGUUUGUGACAGCACACUUUUCCCAGGUGUUCUCAAAGUCAACACUAAAUUGUCAGAAAGCAGAUGGAACCAGCUGUAGAUUUCUGCUUUCUUGGACAGCUAGAAAUCAGGGCAAAGUUAACUUAGACUACAAAAUUGCUCAGUUUCAGUGGUGUAUGGGAGAGGUAAUUUGAUGUUUCUGUAGGUGAUUACUAGUUCCUGCAGAUAAUCCACUUGUGAUGGUAGAAGAUGGGCUACUCAAAUGCCCACAUUUAUAGCCUGUACAAAAGCCCUUUUGGGCUAGUAUUUUGUUUUUUGUUUUUGAUACAUUCUAGAGCCAGCUUCUUCAUAAGUUUACCUUAGAAACUUGAACCUGAGGGCGGCAGUUUCUGUUUUUCUCAAAAUCUGUCCCAUUGCAUGUUAAGCACUGAAGCAACAAAUUAAAACUAGGGGCAUGCACAUGCAGUCUCUAAGAAUUUUUAAACAAGAACUUUCCCUGAUUUCUGUCUUUGGAAUUUGUCCUAGACCUAGAUCAUGAACAGUUUAUAAAUUCUUGUAACUUAAAUUAGUAAACUCUGCCACAAGUGUAAAAACCAUCUCUCCCAUGCUAUUAUUAGGGAAGAAGAUAUUGUUUAACAUUCCCUCAGAAAUGUUUAAUAUGGAGGAGAAAGUGAAUUAGAAUACUCACAUUUACUUUCAGAUUUUCUUUGAGGGGAGAGAAAAAUACGUAUAUGUGGUUCUUUUCAAUUUGGUAGAUAACUGAGAUAUGAAGUCAUAAUGCCAUUACUGCUUUUGAACGGUGGCCAUUAGCUGUUUGUUAGUAACGUUGUGGCUUUACUCCAAAAGAAAAAAAAGAGUGACAAUACAGUAGUUGCCCUUUGUCUCAUAACGGUGUGAAAUGGCUGGGUGAAGAGGAGGGACAUACAUUCUUAAAAGCUGUUAGUUAAAAAAAUGGGGUUUUCCUCAUUUGAUUUUUCAGGGAGUAAACUGGCUUCAUUUGAAUAGCUUUAAUUUGUUAAGUCUUGAGGGUAUUAGUUGUAAGCGAAAACAGUUUUAAAAGUUGCUGGAAUAGCAUUGACAAUUUGAUUGAAAUAGGCACAUAUAUGUGCUCUCCUGAUAAAGGAGAUGUGCAUAUGGUUAUUGAGUAAGUUUCAUUUCAAGUUAAUGAAAUAGGGACUUAACCUUCACCUUCUGACUAUAGUUCAGAAGGAUUACAUCUUCUCCUGUCUUGGAGUUCCUGAUUAACUUUUAGUUAAAAAUGGUGACUCCUCUCCUCCAGCAGACCCCUUCCCUACUUUCUGUAUACACAUUGACCUGUUACUGUCCUGAGAAAAGGGGGAAAAAAUAAAGCAUUUUAUUGGAAGCCUAAAAUGGAGUUGAAUGCUUCAAUAUAUCUGCCUUUGUUUCUCUCUCUCAUAAAAGCUUAUGUUCUUCUUGGGUGGGGGAGGGAGAGGACACUGGGAUGUAAAAUAGGAGGACUUGCUCUUUCACUGCAGGUUUCAGGCCUAGUGUGGUUGGAAUAAAUCAGAAUUCCCCCACCAUGGUAGGGCAGGCUUGAAAUAAUCCCAGAGGUUCUCCACUGACAAGACCCCUAAAUAGUCUACACUAGAGCACGUAAAAUUGGAUGAGCUUACCUAGGAGUGUCAGCUGCCAUUUAGGGGCUUAUGUAUAUGUACUUCAAAUUGUGCUGCAUAGGAAUUAAGAGACCAUUUUGAGCUCUCAGAUCUGUACUCAUUCCAUUCUAGAGCAAGCUACUUGCUUUCUUCAGCUCUAGUGAAGAGCCAGCCCUGGAUCAUCUAGGUGUGUUCUACCCUCUCUGGUAUGAACUACCUUUACCAGUUUCUUUUUUUUUUUUUGAGACAGAGUCUUGCGGUGUUGCCAGGUGCCAGGCUGGAGUGCAAUGGUGCGAUCUCGGCCCACUGCAACCUCUGCCUCCCGGGUUCAAGCAAUUCUCCUGCCUCAGCCUCCUGAGUAGCUGGGACUACAGGUGUGUGCCCCCACGCCCAGCUAAUUUUUGUAUUUUUAGUAAAGACAGGGUUGUGCUAUGUUGACCUCAUGAUCCGCCCACCUCAGCCCCCAAAGUGUUAGGAUUACAGGCGUGAGCCACCGUGCCCAGCCACCAGUUUCUUAAACUACUUUAAAAACAGGUCUUGAGUUCACAUUCAGAUCUUCAAAGCAUCCUCUGUCUCAACACUGCCUGGCCUAUUUCAUUGUCACACUCACUGAGCAUCUCUUGAGCCGGGUCCUGGGGUAAGUUGCUUUGAGAGUUGAGAGAAAAAUAUAAGAUGUACAAGUAAGAAAAUUGAGAUUAAGGCCGGGUGCGGUGGCUCACGUCUGUAAUCCCAGUACUUUGGGAGGCUGAGGCGGGCGGAUCUGGAGGUCAGGAGACUGAGAUCAUCCUGGCCAACAUGAUAAAAUCCCGUCUCUACUAAAUAUACAAAAAAAUUAGCUGGGCGUGGUGGUGCACGCCUGUAGUCACAACUAUUCAGGAGGCUGAGGCAGGAGAAUUGCUUGAACCCAGGAGACGGAGAUUGCAGUGAGCUGAGAUGGUGCCACUGCACUACAGCCUGGGUGACAGUGCAAGACUCCGUCUCAAAACAAAAAAAAAAGAAUUGAGAUUAAUAUGUGAAAGAGUACACAGUGGUAUAUACAAAUUUUUUUAGCAGGAGAAAAUUUUUAAAAAUUUCUUAAGUUAAACUUACUAUUUUACACAUGAGGAAAUGGUGGCCCAUAGAGAUUAAAUAUAUAUCCAGGAUCACACAACUAUCAUUCUUAGUAGUGAUUUGUAGUAGUGAUUCUUAAUAGUUUUUGAUGGAAUACUAGAGUCGUGUUGCACACCGUAACCACUAGGGUCAUUCAGGAAGGAUCAGACUGGCAAGAGUUAUGACCUGAACUGAACCUUGUAAGGAGAAUAGGUUGUGUAGGUUAAGAGAAGGAGGACAUUUCAUGGGAGAUGGAAGUUGUGCUUGUUGUGUUUGAGAUAGAAAGGCUGGAAUAAGAAUCUAGACUGACGUAGUGUAAAAUGAGGUAGAGUUGGAGCAAGGUGAGAAAAGCCCAGUAACAGUUUAAUCUGGUCCUUAAGAAGCCUUGGAAGUUUUUUGUUUUAUUUUGUUUUGUUUUUUGUUUUCUGAGAUGGAGUCUGGCUCUGUCGCCCAGGCUGGAAUGCAGUGGUGUGAUCUCGGCUCACUGUAGCCUCUGCCUCCCAGGUUCAAGAGAUUCUUCUGCCUCAGCCUCCUGAGUAGUUGGGAUUACAAGCACGUGCCACCAUGCCUGGCUAGUUUUUAUAUAUAUAUAUAAUUUUUUUUUUUUUUAAAUGAAGACGGGGUUUCACCGUGUUGGUCAGGCUGGUCUCAAACUCCUGACCUCAUGAGCCUUGGAAGGUUUUUAAGUGAUAAAGAGUGGGGUGUGUGUGUGUGUGUGUGUGUGUGUGUGUGUGUAAUGAAUUGCAAGGGGCCAAGCCUGGGAUCCCAAGCCUGUAUGGUUGCAAGUAAUCAGGUUGUGUGUCACACAUCUGUGCUAGAAAUGGAGGGGAGUGGCUUGAAAGAUACUGAAAGAAAGAAUCAUGGGAUUUCUGCCUGUCAGUAAGUCUCCUAAGAAAAGAAUGUCCUUUGAUUAUAAUUCUCAAUGGGAGAAGAUCAGUGGAGAGCCAUACUAGAGACCAGACUCUAGUGUGGUUGGUUAGAGUUUUCACAAGUUGUAAGUCCUGAGUUUCAGUGCACAAGUCCCAUUUUAGGGGUUCGAAUUACCUAACCUAAAAAAUAAAAAGCCAGGUAAGCUAGUGCAAGCCUUAAGGCCCCACCUCUCAUGAAGCUGAGACAAGAAGAUUGCUUGAGCCCCGGAGUUGGAGCCCAACCUGGACAACAAAGCAAGACCCCAUCUCAAAUUAAAAAAAAAUAAAAGAGUGUUUUUCUUUUUUUUUUCCCCCACACUAUUUUAAAGUUCUGGUAUCAGUAUACUCUGUAGAAGCAUUUAUAUUUUUCUAUCCAAAGUGCUGAGAUUACAGGUGUGAGCCAUUGCACCCAGCCUUUGCCUUUUGGUAAGAAUUCUUAUCAAUCUUGUUGACUAAACCAGAAUAUUGCAUUUACUCUUUAAGAAGGAGGGCAGUUUGUGGCCAGGCGUGGUGGCUCACGCCUAUAAUCCCAACACUUUGGGAGGCUGAGGCAUGUGGAUCAUUUGAGGUCAGGAGUUUUAGACCAGCCUAGCCAACAUGGUGAAACCCUGUCUCUGCUAAAAAUACAAAAAACAGCUGGUAUUGGUGGUGCACACCUGUAAUCCCAGCUACUUGGGAGGCUGAGGCAGGAGAAUUGCUUGAAUCCAGGAGGCAGAGGUUAUAUUGAGCUGAGAUUGCACCACUGCGUUCCAGCCUGGGCAACAGAGGGAGGCUCCCAUCUCAAAAAAAAAAAUAAGGAGAAGGGCAGUUUGUUGUUUAGCUCUCUUAAAGCAAAUAAUCUGCUUGCCUUUUAUUAUAUUCAUUUUGUCAGCUAAAUGGACUGUUUCUAAAUGGGUGCUGAGAAUGAACUUUCACUUCCUAUAUAAAAGUCUUUUUGGGAGACUGGCUGAAGAUCUCUCUUUCCCCUGUUAGGAGAAAGAAAUAAGUAAGGAAAUGUAGUAUUCCUUCAGGAUCUUUGAGGUUUCACCUCUAAACCAUAUGGUUGAACAGCUACAGGUACAAAGUUUUUUGUUUUUUGUUUUUUGAGACGUCUUUUGUCUCAAAAGCCUGGGUUUGUCGCCCAGGCUGGAGUGCAAUGGCACAAUCUCGGCUCACUGCAAACCUCUGCCUCCUGGGUUCAAGUGAUUCUCCUGUCUCAGCCUCCCAAGUAACUGGGGUUACAGGCACCUGCCGCUAUGCUUGGCUAAUUUUUUGUAUUUUUGGUAGAGGUGGGUUUCACCAUGUUGGCCCGGCUGGUCUUGAACUCCUGACGUCAAGUGAUCCAUCUGCCUUGGCCUCCUAGAGUGCAGGGAUUAGAGGCGUGACCCACUACUCCUGGCCAAGAAUGGCAUUCAUAACCCCAUUUUAUAGGUGCAGAAACAGGCUCAGAGCUUAAGAGACUUGCUCAGGUUCACACAUCUAGUGAGUGAUAGAGAUGGACUUUGAUCUUAACUCUUGCUGUGGUGUACCCAUCCCAAUACAUGGUGAAACCCCAACUCUACUAAAUACAAAAAAAUUAGCUGGGCAUGGUGGCACAUUGCCUGUAAUGUCAGCUGCCUGGAAGCCUAAGGCAGGAGAAUUGCAUGAACUCAGGAGGUAGAGGUUGCAGUGAGUGGAGAUGGCACCAUUGCACUGUUGCCUGGGGAAGAAGAGAGAAACAACAUCUUAAAAAACAAAAACAUAAAGUUGGCAUGCAUCUUGCAGUUGAUGAAAUUGCCAUGCUAGCCAAAAAACAAAACCAAUUAGUGGGGUUUACAGAAGGAGAUUAUGACACCUGUUAAGUGGAAUACUGUGACAGUGUUAAUAAUGUUGAUCUGUAUCAAUGCCAAAUAAUGCCUACACUUGCACAGAGAAAUGUUAAAUGGAUCCUCUUUUAAUAAGUAAUAACAUAACAUAUUGAAUACUAAGCAUGCCCUUGCACUAAGUUUUGGACUUCCCUUCUCUUUUUAUUUUUAUUUUAAAGAUGGGGUUUCACCAUGUUGGACAGGCUUGUUUCAAACUCCUGAUCUCAAGUGAUCCACCUGCCUCGGCCUCCCAGAGUGCUGGGAUUACAGGCGUGAGCCACCGUGCCCAGCUUCCCUUCUCUUUUAAUCUCACACAAGUCCUGUAAAGGCAGAUGCUGUUAUUCCCAUUUUACUGCAAAAAGUCUGAGGCUUAGAUUUAGUAGUUUGCCCAAAUUUAGAAGUUAGAAAUCAGAUUCAAUCUGGUUUAGUCCUAAUUUCAUUCAUUCAUUCAUUCAUUCAUUCAUUCAUUCCUGAGACAGAGUUUCACUUUUGUUGCCUAGGCUGGAGUGCAAUGGCACGAUCUCGGGUCACUGCAACCUCUGCCUCCUGUGUUCAAGUGAGUCUCCUGCCUUACCCUCCUGAGUAACUGGGAUUACAGGCGUGGGCUAAUCACAGGCAACCACGUCCAGCUAAUUUUUUUAUAUAUUUAGUAGAGACAAGGUUUCACCAUGUUGACCAGGCUGGUCUAGAACUAUGGACCUCGGGUGAUCCCCCAUACCUCCCAAAGUGCUGGAAUUACAGGCGUUAGCCACUGUGCUUGGCUAUCAGUUUUCUUAAAAAAGUUACAUUCAGAUAGUAAGCAGUUAACAUUCUGCAUCUCAGUUUACCUUGAAGGAUAUUCUAGGAAGUAAAGUGCUCUGCUAAGGGGUGGUUUUGUGUUUUAAGGGCUGAGGUUUAACCUGAUUUUUAAUCUUUCAGGCUGAAGUUCACUUUGGCCAUGCUCAGUAUCAUAAAACUUUGAGACACUUGAAAAAGUGACCCAGAAUGACUUUUUUGAGGAAAAUCUUUGUCCUUUUGGCAGCUACUCCUCUAAUUUCACCUCCUCCUGGAUGUGGAAUGAGAGACAUCUGAAGUGUGGUAAAGAAUACUGGCUCUAGGCAAGACCUGCCUGCUUGGAAUCCCAGCUCUGCCACUGACAGAUCUGGCAUUGUGAUCCUGGGCCAUUUACAGAAUGGCUUUGUGUUUUGGUAGUGUCAUCUGUAAAAUGGGAACAACAGUUACCUACCUUUCUAGGGUCACAGUGAAGAUUAAAAUAGCUAAUAUUUUGGUGUCGGGGGUUUAUUUUUGAGAUGGAGUCUCGCUCUGUCACCCAGAGUGGAGUGCAGUGGUGCAGUCUUGGCUCACUGCAACCUCCGCCCCUCAGGUUCAAGCCAUUUUCCUGCCUCAGCCUCCUGAGUAGCUGGGAUUACAGGUAUGCACCACCACAUCUAGCUGAUUUUGUAUUUUUAGUAGAGAUGGGGUUUCACCAUAUUGGCCAGCCUGUUCUCAUACUCCUGACCUCAUGAUCCGACUGCCUCAGCCUCCCAAAGUGUUGAGAUUACAGGCGUGAGCCACCACACCUGGCCUAUUUUGGUGUUUUUAAAGCAGCCACUAGCAUGAAGUAGACAGUAAUUGCUAGCUUUUAGUUUUAUUAAUGCUAUUCAGAUACACAACAUUGAUACGAGGUAGUAAAUAUUAAGUCACAUGACUCUACUCAUAAAACUGGCCAAAGGUUAUCUGUUAUUACCUCAAACUCAGAACUCUUCAAACCCUGUCCCAGAGCUCAUCUGAAAGCACCGUAUCUAUGGAGAGUUUUUUCCAUUCUUACACAUCUGUAACAAAGAGAUGGAUACCUAUGUUGUGCCCUGUAAGUUUCUUUAGUUUACUGAAGCUUUGGGAUUAUGCAGUUGGCUAACAGUAAGGAAUGUAAAAAAAAGCCUUGGGGAAACUCAUAGUAUCUACUGUAAGGAUAUUAAGGAUGAUUUCAUUAUCUCUAACUGCCCUCCGUGAGAACCCAUGGGUAAACAUGCUCUCUAGUCUCAUAGUGAGAAUAGGCAUUUUCCCCCCAACAACUUCUAAAAAUCUUAAGCAUGCCAUAGACAAUGCUUAAUAUUUCCUUCUUUACUUGGCUAGAAAGCUUAGCCCACUUUGGUCCAGUUUCUAGCAGUAGUUCUUUUACUUUCUGUCCUAACAUUUUUAUCAGAAGAGCUACAUAUUGAGUAUCCAUAAUCCAAAGAUCUGAAAUCUGAAACUAUUUUGAGCACCAACAUGGCAAUCAAAGGAAAUGCUUCUUUUUUUUUUUUUUUUUUUUUGAGACGGAGUUUCGCUCUUGUUACCCAGGCUGGAGUGCAAUGGCGCGAUCUCGGCUCACCGCAACCUCCGCCUCCUGGGUUCAGGCAAUUCUCCUGCCUCAGACUCCUGAGUAGCUGGGAUUACGGGCACGCACCACCAUGCCCAGCUAAUUUUUUGUAUUUUUAGUAGAGACGGGGUUUUACCAUGUUGACCAGGAUGGUCUCAAUCUCUUGACCUCAUGAUCCACCCGCCUCGGUCUCCCAAAGUGCUGGGAUUACAGGCUUGAGCCAUGGCGCCUGGCCAGGAAAUGCUUCUUGAAGCAUUUUGGAUUUUCGGAUUUAGGGAUGCUGAGCCCAUAUAAAUGCAGGUAUUCAAAAAUCCAAAAGCUGAAAUGCUUCUGGUCCCUUAUUUCAGAUAAGGGAUAUUCAACCUAUAUUUAUUAUUAGCAGUAAAAUAUUGAAAAUUUUUUCCUCAUUUCAACAGUGGCUUUUCUUUUCUUUCUUUCUUUCUUUCUUUCUUUCUUUCUUUCUUUCUUUCUUUCUUCCUUUGUUUCUUUCUUUCUUUCUCUCUUUUCUUUCUGUCUGUCUAUCCAUCUUUCUUUCCGUCUUUCUUUCUGUCUGUCUGUCUUCUGUCUUUCCGUCUUUCUUUCCUUCUUUCUUUCUUUCUCUUUCUUUCCUUCUUUCCUUCCUUCCUUCUUUCUUUCAUCUGUCUUUCUUUAGUCUUUUUUCCUUUCGUUCGUUCAUUCGUUCGUUCAUUCUUUCAUUCGUUCUUUCUUUCUUUCGUUCCUCUGUCUUUCUGUUUUGCUCUUGUUGCCCAAGCUGGAUUGCAGUGGCGCAGUCUCGGCUCACUGCAGCCUCUGCCUCCUGGGUUCAAGUGCUUAUCUUGUCUCAGCCUUCCUGAGUAGCUGGGAUUACACCAUGCCUGGCUAAUUUUUUUAGUUUUAAUAGAGACAAAAGACGAGGUUUCAUCAUAUUGGUCAGGCUGAUUUCGAACUCCUGACCUCAGGUGAUCUGCCCACCUCGGACUCUCGAAGUGCUGGGAUUAUAGGCAUGAGCUACUGGGCCUGGCUGCUUUUUUUUUUUUUUUUUUUUUUUUUAAGUUGGAGUCUUACUCUGUCACCCAGGCUGGAGUGCAGUGGCAUGAUCUUGGCUCACUACAACCUCUGCCUCCCUGGGUUCAAGAGAUUCUUCUGCCUGCCUCAGCCUCCCAAGUAGCUGGGACUACAGGCACCUGCCAUCACGCCUGGCUAAUUUUUAUAUUUUAAGUACAGAUGGGGUUUCACCAUAUUGGCCAGGCUCUUCUCAAACUCCUGACCUUGUGAUCCACCCACUUUGAUCUCCUAAAAUGCUGCUAGGAUUACAGCCAUGAGCCACUGUGCCUGACCUAACAGUGGCUUUUAUUUAGUAUAUUCUUUAGUUUAACAGUGGACUUUUUAUUCCUUUUGUUGUUGUUGUUUAUUUUAUUUUAUUUUAUUUUUUGAAACAGGGUCUCCAUACAUCACCCAGGACUUUUUGCUUUUUUGAGGCGGAGUCUCACUCUGUGACCAGGCUGCAAAUGCAGUGGCACGAUCUUGGCUCAUCAGGACCUCUGCCUCCCGGGUUCAAGUGAUUCUCUUGCCUCGACCUCCCGAGUAGCUGGGACUCCAGGGAUGUACCACCACUCCCAGCUAAUUUUUUGUAUUUUUAGUAGUGACAGGGUUUCACCAUAUUGGCCAGGAUGGUCUCGAUCUCUUGAUCUUGUGAUCCCCCCACCUUGGCCUCCCAAAGUGCUGGGACUAUAGGAACUCAGGACUUUUAAAAUCUAGGUUUAACAAAAUGGCAAAGGCCCUUGGUAAUAUUUUUCUUUUGAAAAAUGCUAAAAUAUCAGUUUAGUUAUAAAGUGAGAAAAAACGUAUUUUGGACCUUGAAACUGUAGGAUUCACUGAGAACAAGAAAAGAGUAUGUGGUUUUGGAAAAUGUUGAUUAUUUUAUGUCUCAUUUUGUGUCAUUUCAUAUAUCUUUUUUUUUUUUUUGAGACGGAGUCUCGUACUGUCGCCUGGGCUGGAGUGCAAAGGCGUGAUGUCAGCUCAUUGCAACCUCUGUCUCCCGGGCUCAAGCGAUUCUCCUGCCUCAGCCUCCUGAGAUAGCUGGGAUUACAGGUGCCCACCACCAUGCCCAGCUAAUAUUUUGUAUUUUUAGUGGGGAUAGGGUUUCACUAGGUUAGCCAGGCUGGUCUCGAACUCCCAAACUCUUGAUCCACCUGCUUCAGCCUCCCAAAGUGCUGGGAUUACAGGUGUGAGCUACCGCGCCCAGCAUAUCUCUAUUUUCAUAGAUAACUAUGUAUGGUUGAAAAGGAGUGCUGGGGAAAAAGAAUAUAUUUAGAUUAUUUUAUUAGCAAUAUUUCCAUUUCACGUUAAAAUUUAAAAUUACCUUAGUAUACACUAAUAGAUAGGAAACUAAAAAUUCUGCAUAAGUCCCUCCAUUCCAGUAUUUUUACUGUUUCAGGUCUCUUUGAAGCUUUAUCAUUAUGUAUACGUUUUUAUAUCCUCAAAUUGCAGGGGAUUUAAAAUAUUUUACCAUUUUUCAUAUUAGUUUAUUUUCGGUGGUUAUAUAACAUAUCAAGGUAAUGUUCUGUAAUUGACUUAACUAUUUGCUAUUGCUGUAUAUUUCACUUGUUUCUGUUAAUAAUUUAGUUAAAAAUUUCAAGGGAGUUUUGAUAUAUGUAUUGUCCUAUUGUCUGAAUGGCUCAACAAAUGCUUACCUACUUAAGAUAACUUUAAAUGACAAUGGCCCAUAAUCCCUAGCCAGAAUACAUAAUAUUAGCAGUGCUAAGGUUUGCUUCAUUUUCUGGUCUCUUUUAACAAUAGGACAUUAUUUAGAAGUUUGACAGUGUUUUACAGGACUAUGUUAACCAGAUUUGUGAGAUGAUUAAACAUCUUUUCUUCAGCAUGUAAGAUGCUUGGCACAGUUUUUCAGAAACACGUUUUAUUUUGUGCUGUUCUUUUAGGUGGUUAAUUUGUUGUUUUUUUUUUAUAGCUUUGUCAGGUUAAAUUAAUAAGUAAUUAUGAUAGUAGAGAAGUCUGGCAUGUAUUUAUAAUUUAAUUUGUCUUGUUUAAACUAGAUGAAUAUCUUCUAGAGGGAGACCAUACAUCCUAACUCAUGCUUGGAACAAGAUGGGAAGACAGACAAACCAGUCUUUGUUUAGUUUAUGCUGCAGAUGUUUAGCUUUAAACCCAGGAAGCUCUGCUGAGAGCUUUUGAGAAAAAAUAUUGGAACCUAAUGAAACAUGCUCACUCAAACAUACUGAAAUACAAAGAAAAAAGAAGGGUGUGAUCUUGGGUAACAGUUGGUUUUCUCUAGAUGAAGUGAUAAUGGAGAACUUAACUUUCUCUAGUGUGCAUUUCUGUAAUGGAAAUUUCUUACUACAAGCUUAUAUUAGUUUCGUAAUCAGAAAAGGCAGUAAAUAACAAAACACUACAGUAGUUUCUAGAUGUCAGUUUGCAAGUCAACAAAUAUUUUAGGGCCUGUUUUGCUUUCUUGUAAGGGAAAAAAAAUCACUUUGCACAGCUUCAUAGCAAACUCCUUUUAUAUUAAAAUUCUUCUUGGUGUAAGCAGUACAUCAUCUUCCACAUUGUACAAGGCUAUUACAUAGAUGUUUUGAUAAUCUAAGAUGAUAAACUAAAAACAUAACAUGUUCAGCUAUUUUCUCUAUGGAUAAACAGAUUAGACCUAAAACUGGUCUUGUUAUCUAGAUUUCUAGUUAUAUCUCAAUUAUCUUUUCCCCACAUGGGAUGUAAAAGUAAUGUUAUAUGCUUUCUUGUGUACUUACUUUUUGACUUAGGUCAGUUUCCACAUUGUAUUAAAAUUACUGAUGCAGACAAAUUACAGUUUUCCAGAGGUUCAUGUAUCUGUUUCUCCUUCCUUGGCUGUCCUGCAUUUAUUAUGUAUUAAUUUUUAUAAAAUGUUUGCCAUUGAAAAAAUAUAAUUUAAAAACAAUGAUCUGAAAUUAAUAAUGUGUUUUAGCUAUUUGUCAUGCAUUAAGAAAUCAAGUGACCAGGGGAGGUAACCUGUAAUUCUAGCACUUUGGGAGGCUAAAGUGGGAGGACCACAUGAGCCAAGGAGUUCAAGACCAGCCUGGGCAAUAUAGCCAGACCUUGUCUCUACUAAAGAUUAAAAAAAGAAUUAGUCAGGUUUGGUGGUGCAAGCCUGUAGUCCCAGCUGCUUGGGAGGCUAAGGUGGGAAGGUUGCUUGAGCCCAGGAGAUGGAGGCUACAGUGAGCUAUGUUUGCCCCACUGUACUCCAGCCUGUGUGAUAGUGUGACCCUGUUUUUUUUUUUUUAAAUGAGAAAUCAAGUGUCUUUUUUUUUUUUUUAAUUGAGUCUCCAUAGAGACUGUCAAAAAUUGCCAAUGCCAACUAUCUUUCAAGUUGUCAUGGUGGGGUAUUGGGAAAAGUUUUCAGUUAGCAAUAAUCACACCUUGGAUAAACCUCAUGGGCUAUAAUACUGCCACUGUGCAAAGCUGAAAUCAAAUGUCUUUUUAAUUUAAUUCUUUUAAAAUUUUUAUUAGAAUCAUUUAAUAGAAAACAUGUAAAAGAAGCUUGGUCAUAUUCCCUCGUGAUGCCCAGAUAACAAUUUUGAAAUUAAAUAAGCAAAUAAAUAAAUGUCUCAGUCAUUAUUAGAAAAUUUAUAUGCCAAACCCUCUUCCCAAAAAAAAUCACUAUUCAGGUUUUCUAUAACUUUUCAGACAAAAACAUUUAAUGCAUAUAGCCAUAGUUACUUCUAUUACAGUUCCUGGAUACAAUGAAACAUAAUGCAUCCAUAUUCAAAAUUUUAUAAUGAAAGUAAGCAGGUACUUUUCAUCUUUAGAGAGAAGAAUAAGGUUUCUGUUAAGUGCGCCUCUUUAGAAAAUGGUGGUAGCUCAGGAUUUCUGUGUCAGGCUCUUAGAGAAAAUAUAGUGAUUAAGACUUUUCUCAAAAUAUUAAAACUAAGUCAGAACAGAUCGUGAACCUGAGAUUUGUGUGAAUUUUCCAAAACUUUUUGCUAAAGUAGUCUAUGUCAUAUAUCCCAGUGAAUUUGUAACUAAUGGCCUCAUUUAAUGCCAGAAGUGAGAACUGGUAGACCCUGCAAGCCUUCCCUUAAUUAAUUGGUUGGUCUCCUUCUGUAUUUAGGUUACUGAUGGAGAAGACCUAAUACUCGAGUUGUUCAUAAACUUGGAAAGUCACACUGUAUUUGCUUAGAGUCCUGUUAUCUGCCUGAACAGUUGUUACCUUUACACUUUUUAGUAGUAAUUUUCAUAUUUAGCUAUGAGUUUGUUAGUGUUGUAUAUUCAUGUGUGAAGUUUCUGUAUGUAUUUCCCUCACUUCAUCCCUUCCCUGUUAAGAUAUUAAAGGCCUGGCAAAAAGGACAUGCCUCUCACCUGCAUAUCCUCAGGUAACCUAAUGAAAAAUUAAUCUUGUAUAACUUGCUUCUGCGUUUGGGUUUGGGUUUGUUUUUUGAGACGGAGUCUCACACUGUUGCCCAGACUGGAAUGCAGUGGCGAGAUAUCUGGUCACGGCAACCUCCGCCCUCCAGAUUCAGGUGAUUCUCCUGCCUCACCCUCCCAAGUAGCAAGCCACCACACCCAGCUAAUUUUUGUAUUUUUAUUAGAGACAGGGUUUCACCAUGUUGGCCAGGUUGGUCUCGAACUCCUGUCCUCAGGUGACCCACCUGCCUCGGCCUCCCAUAGUGCUGGGAUUACAGGCGUGAGCCAUUGCACCUGGCCUGGGUUUGGGUUUUAUAUUGUCAACAGAAAUUAAGGCUGUUGAGGUAGAAGUAAUUUCAUAAAGGUUUAUUGGAAAGCCUGGCAAAUGAGAAUCGACCUGGGAAGACACACCAGCAGACCUGGGGGUUUUUCUGAAGUCUGCCAGAAGGUGAAAGAUUUUUUUGUUUUGCUGUUUGUUUCUUUGAGGGUUUUCUUUUUUAGAGUCUUGCUCGCUUUCACCCACACUAGAGUGCAGUGGUGUGAUCUUGGCUCAGUGCAUUCUCUACCUCCCAGGUUCAAGCAAUUCUCCCACCUCAGCCUCCCUAGUAGCUGAGACUAUGGACAUGUGCCACUACACCUGGCUAAUUUUUGUAUUUUUAGUAGAGACAGAGUUUCACCAUGUUGGCCAGGCUGGUCUAGAACUCCUGACCUCAAGUGAUCCACCUGCCUUGGUCUCCCAAAGUGCUGGGAUUACAGGCAUGAGCCACCACACCUGGCCUUUUUAAAUUUUUUUUUUUUUUUUUGAGAUAGGGUCUUGCACUAUUGGCUGGGCCGGAAUGCAGCCUCAACUUCCUAGGCUCAAGUGAUUCACCCAUCUCAGCCUCCUGAAUUUCUGGGACUACAGACAGGGUUUCACCAUGUUGGUCAGGCUGGUCUUGAACUCCCAACCUCAGGUGAUCCACCCGCCUCGGCCACCAAAGUGCUUGGAUUACAGGCGUGAACCACCACGCCCGGCCGAGGAAUGGCAAACUUUUCAAGAGGAGCCACACUGUGGAAGCAGUCUUACCGCCUCUGAAGCCAAGAGGCCAUUGUCAAACUUGACAGGCAUAUCUUACUGACUUUUUGAUGCACACACAUUAGCUGUAUCUUUGUUCUUUAGCUCGUUUGCUCUUAAGCUCAGUAAAAAUUGAGAGUUAUUAUUUAAUAAGGAUGAGACUUAGUAAAGCAUUUUGCAAAUAGAGUAUAAUGUUCCUUGCAUUCGUUGUACUCUUGGGUUCCUGAAAUAAUAGUCAGAUAAUACGUCUAUCACUGUCCUCUCUACAAUCCACAUCGCUUUCCAAAAUGGAAAAGAUACUCCACGGAGAAAGUUUAGAAGAAGAAAAUGAAAUUGGAAUAAGUAGAAGUCAAAGUGGCCUGUCCUCUGUAAUUGCUUUUAGAGGUGACCUGGCAGUUCCUUAUUUAUGGGUGGGUAUGGGGUAUACAUUGACCAAAGAAGAUAGUUUAGGUGAGUUGCUGCCCUGUCUUUGAGAAAGGGAUUCUUGGCUCUUAAAAUUAGAAACAAGGAGAUCAAUGGGAUGAAAAAGUAGCCUUCCCUUUUCCCCAAAUUAAACAGAUACACAUACUUUGUGAUAGAAAUAGAUUAUGAAAUAUGGUGUCCAGAUCAAACUGUCUGCUGGGCUUUUAAAAGCGUUUUAUACUUUCUCCUGGGCACCUAGAUUGCUUAUUCUCACUUCUGUCUCCUUUUAUUACCCACUUCAAACAGUUGUAAUUUUUUUCCUUUCCAUUCCUUAGACUUACCCCUGUUCCUUCCUCCACCCCCAAAAUGGGAGAAGCCUUUAGCAUUUAACUGUAGUACUUUAUUUGGCUGUCAGUAUUUGUCAUAUUAGUAAUUGGAUGAGCUUGGCUGGAGGUAGGGGGCUGUUCUGCCCUUUUUAAGAUUGGCCCACACACCAUUGUACUUAGCUACCCACACAGGAGCAGAGCAAGCUGGCUAGUUUUGAACACAAAAGCAUGACAAUUGUGGGUGGCAGCAUCUAUAGUUUUAGAAUUUUUAAAGUAAGACAAAUGAGGCCAGUGGAAUAAACUUUACAACCGAUAGAACUUUUGUUUCUGUUUUUCUUAACACCCAGCAAUUAAAAAUACUAAGAACAGGGAUAAAGUGAAAAUUAAGUUCUUGUAUCUAUUGCUUCUUGGCAAAACAAACACAUCAAAAAAUAUCUGUUGGCUCUCAAAUUGUUAAUGGUUUCUGACCUGUGUGUUCUGAGUGAUUUGGUGGAGUGAAUGAGCUAGAUCUUGGUUUUUCCACAAAGGAUUGAAAUUUGGUUCUUGGAGGGUGAAGAAACAAAACUUAACUCUUUAUACGUAAAGCACAGAUAUACAGUAUACUACAUAAAUAUAUAUGUAUUUCAUCUGUGGUAUCCAAAUUUCAUUGAGAAGUGGUAAUUAAGGAAAAAAUGUCUACAAGGGCAUGGGGGGGGGGUGAUGACGAUUAAUAAAAAGACCAAGACAGUUGGGUCUCUCCCCUUUAAGGAACUGUAGGACCUAAGUGUCUGUGUCGUGGAGAGGCUAGUGCCCCUUCUUUAUUUUUCUCAUCUCUAAAGCUGGCCUGAGGAUGCUGAAUGGUGUUACUAUCUGAAGUGCUUCAGGAGUGCCAGCAGAUACUCUUAGGAUUGUUAUGGUACAGUAUAUGUGGUUCUGACAGUUACCAGGAAUAUAAGCAAUGUUUCGCUUUAUAUACUUCCCUUAUGUUGGAGAGCCUAGCGUUGCAUUAAACAUGAGGGAAAAAUUCUGAAAAAAUACCAAGGGUGAGAAGUAAUGAAUAUUAUUUUAAGUUUUGUUUUUUUUUUUUAGCUAGAGAACAUAGUGAGUUGGCCAGGCUGGUCUCAAACUCCUGGCCUCAAGCGAUCCUCCCAUCUCUCAUUUAAUAAGAGUUGCUCAGUUUAGUAAUAGGUAUCUAAUGAGCAUAAUAUAUUUUGCUCAUGAAAUCAUAAUGUUUUCAGAGACACUAAAACUUAGUAAAUUGGCAAAAUUUUUCCCCCUAGUUUGGUGGGGAGUUUAUUGGCCUGCAUGUGUCAACCCCUCCCUGCCCCAUGAUUUUUAAGGAUGGCUCCUUAAACUCUGUGUAUGAGUAUUUCCUUCAUACCUCUGUUCAAGAUGUUUGGUAUUCUGCAAGUAGAUAACUUAGUACUUUUGUAAUAUGAUAAGCCUAGAUAUAUGAGGGAAGUAGUGUUUCCUGAUAAAUUAAGCAGUUAGUUGUUAAGGAGAUGAUAGGACUUAUGAUGACAUUUUUAAGAGUCAAGUGUUUGGACCUGUUUUUCUGAGGAUUUCCCUGUCCUUCCCACAGCAUAGGAGACCAUCGUGACCUAUUUUUCUGUCCUUAGACUGCCUGAAGGAAAGAUGUGUGUUUGUAUCUUUGCCACUUUGUGGUUUAGUUUGGUCCCUUGUCCUUGUUUAAGACAGGGUAGCAAAAUGUUUUUGAGAAUGAUACAGAUUUGAAUUUGAAUUGAAUUGAAUUGCAAUUUUGCUCUUUAUUAGCUGUAUUUGUGGUCAAAACACCUGACCUCUUUGAGCCCUGGUUUGUUCAUCUGUAAAAUAAAAAUACUGUCUCCGGGAAGGGUUGUUUUUAAUACACACAGAAAGGAUGUGUGAUAGGUACACAAUAUAUUAUACCUUUUAAAAGUUUGACUUUAGGUUGGGUGUGGUGGCUGAUGCCUGAAAUCCCAGCACAUUGGGAGGCUAAGGUGGGAGAAUCACUUGAGGCCAGGAGUUUGAGACCAGGCUGGUCAAUAGAGCGAGACUCCAUCUCCAAAAAAAAAAAAAAAAUUAAAAUUAGCUGGGCAUGGCAGCAUACGCCUGUAGUUCUAACUGCUCCAGAAGCUGAGGUAGGAGUUGAAGGUUGCAAUGAACUAUUCAUGCCACUGCACUCCAGCCUGGGUGAAAGAACAAGACCCUGUCUCAGAAAAACUUGGAAAAAGUUUAAAGUAAAAAAGAACAUAGCAUUAUAGGACUCUUAUUUUACAAGGGAUUACCUGAGCCCAGAGAAGUCAAGUGGCCAGAGAGCAAGGUUAGCAGGAGCAGCUGGGCCCAUGCUGCCAGGUCCCUGUGUGUUUUUUGCCCCACAAACCUUGCUUUUGUAUUAUUUAGGUCACUCCUUACUAUACAGACAAACGUGGUAAUGGUGGUGUUUUGCCCUGCUGAGUUUGACCUCAGUUGAAUCAGUACAGGAUUACAUUUCUGUGAGUUCUUUAGUUCUAUGGAAGCCUUCUAAAAUCAGAUGAUUACCUUGCCUGCAUUUGUGACUUCAGUUACUAGGCUUUAUGACAGAAAUGUAGAUUGGAAAAUCUUCUAAAAUCCCAUCUGGUCCUUUGAUUUUUAUGUGUGAAGGGCUUAAAAUUACCAGGAAUUGUUCCAGACACAUAGAAAACUAGUCCCUGUUGUCCAGAAUUAUCUUUCUAAGAUAGUAAUGGGGGGUACUAAACUUGCAAUCUGUUGAAAACAUAUUUUUGAGAUUUCAGUUAUUGAAGCAUUUGCUUAUUGUGAAUAAGAAGAAAACUAAGCGGCCAGGCGCGGUGGAUCACGAAGUCAAGAGAUCGAGACCAUCCUGCUCAACAUUGUGAAACCCCGUCUCUACUAAAAACACACAAAAAAUUAGCUGGGCAUGGUGGCACGUGCCUGUAAUUCCGGCUACUCAGGAGGCUGAGACAGGAGAAUUGCCUAAACCCAGGAGACGGAGGUUGCGGUGAGCCAAGAUCACGCCAUUGCACUCCAGCCUGGGUAACGAGCGAAACUCCGUCUCAAAAAAAGAAAAAGAAAACUAAGCCUAAAAAAUCUUUAUAAUCACAUUUCCACAUUUACAUUUGGGAGGUCAUUUAUCAUUUCUUCUUAAUUUUAAUGUUUAAGCAUAUUAGAGAUGAGAUCUCACUAUGUUGCCCAGGCUGGUCUCUAACCCCUGACCUCAAGCAGUCCU